UACGUAGGGUGCGAGCGUUGUCCGGAAUUAUUGGGCGUAAAGAGCUUGUAGGCGGUUUGUCGCGUCUGCCGUGAAAAUUCGAGGCUCAACCUCGAACUUGCGGUGGGUACGGGGCAGGCUAGAGUCCGGCAGGGGAGACUGGAAUUCCUGGUGUAGCGGUGAAAUGCGCAGAUAUCAGGAGGAACACCGGUGGCGAAGGCGGGUCUCUGGGCCGGAACUGACGCUGAGGAGCGAAAGCGUGGGGAGCGAACAGG
rnacentral:rRNA from 1 species